AGAGAUUCACUUUGUUCCGUCCGGAGACAGCUCCCGUCCAGCACGGUCCAAAAAAAACAGAAAGGUGGAAAAAAAAGAGAGAAACUACCUGAAACUCCCUCUAUCGCUCGGUCAAUUCCGACCGAAAUGAAAGAAAAAGUGUGGACGACCGGCGAUCGGACCCCCCCUCUGCGAUCUGAGUCUCAGCCUGCUUUUCCCUCACUCUACCCUGCUAACCUACUUUCUCCAAGCAUGGACUCUCCCAUGAUCUCACUGCCGACAGCCGUUCACAGCUCUCGCGGGAACGCGCAGUCAGGAGCGAGUUUAAGGUGGCUGGCCAGAUGAUGGACUCGUGCCAUUUUGCCAAGAAAUCAUUGAUCAUGUGUUUUGUUAACAGCGUUUUUGCUGUUUUGCAUUAUUUGAGUUGACCUAGAUUACUUCAUUUCAACAUUUGGCCCGGCUGAGCUUCCAAACAUGAAAGUAAUGCUGAAUAAAAAGGGACUGUUGCAGAAGUCUUUAAGAACAACAAUCAAGAAAAUAUUUUUAAAAGAAAAAUAAUAAGAAAAAAAUGCUUAAAUCCUGUUUGAUUGUUGCCUUACAUCAUAUUUUAACAUCGUUCUUAUAUUUUUGGCUGUUUGUCAGAUAAAUACAAUAUCUAAAUUUC